GGAUGAUGUGGUUUAAUUCGAUGCAACGCGAAAACCUUACCCACCUUUGACAUGUACGGAACCCUUUAGAGAUAGAGGGUGCUCGAAAGAGAGCCGUAACACAGGGUGCUGCAUGGCUGUCGUCAGCUCGUGUCGUGAGAUGUUGGGUUAAGUCCCCGCAACGAGCGCAACCCUUGUCAUUAGUUGCUACAUUCAGUUGGGCACUCUAAUGAGACUGCCGGUGACAAGCCGGAGGAAGUGGGGAUGACGUCAAGUCCUCAUGGCCCUUAUAGGUGGGGCUACACACGUCAUACAAUGGCUGGUACAAAGGGUUGCCAACCCGCGAGGGGGAGCCAAUCCCUUAAAGCCGAUCGUAGUCCGGAUCGUAGUCUGCAACUCGACUACGUGAAGUCGGAAUCGCUAGUAAUCGCGGAUCAGCACGCCGCGGUGAAUACGGUUCCCGGGCCUU
rnacentral:rRNA from 1 species